GACGAACGCUGGCGGCGUGCUUAACACAUGCGAGUCGAACGGAAAGGCCCUGCUUUUGUGGGGUGCUCGAGUUGCGAACGGGUGAGUAACACGUGAGUAACCUGCCCUUGACUUUGGGAUAACUUCAGGAAACUGGGGCUAAUACCGGAUAGGAGCUCCUGCUGCAUGGUGGGGGUUGGAAAGUUUCGGCGGUUGGGGAUGGACUCGCGGCUUAUCAGCUUGUUGGUGGGGUAGUGGCUUACCAAGGCUUUGACGGGUAGCCGGCCUGAGAGGGUGACCGGCCACAUUGGGACUGAGAUACGGCCCAGACUCCUACGGGAGGCAGCAGUGGGGAAUAUUGCACAAUGGGCGGAAGCCUGAUGCAGCAACGCCGCGUGCGGGAUGACGGCCUUCGGGUUGUAAACCGCUUUCGCCUGUGACGAAGCGUGAGUGACGGUAAUGGGUAAAGAAGCACCGGCUAACUACGUG
rnacentral:rRNA from 1 species